rnacentral:pre_miRNA from 1 species
AAAGUACUCCCUCCGUCCCAAAAUUCUUGUCUUAGAUUUGUAUAGAUACGGAUGUAUCAAGUCACAUUUUAGUAUUAGAUACAUCCGUAUCUAGACAAAUCUAAGACAAGAAAUUUGGGACAGAGGGAGUAGUUG